GGGGAGAUUGCUUCGGUAAUUGACCUAGCGGCGGACGGGUGAGUAAUACUUAGGAAUCUGCCUAUUAAUGGGGGACAACAUCUCGAAAGGGAUGCUAAUACCGCAUACGCCCUACGGGGGAAAGCAGGGGAUCACUUGUGACCUUGCGUUAAUAGAUGAGCCUAAGUCGGAUUAGCUAGUUGGUGGGGUAAAGGCCUACCAAGGCGACGAUCUGUAGCGGGUCUGAGAGGAUGAUCCGCCACACUGGGACUGAGACACGGCCCAGACUCCUACGGGAGGCAGCAGUGGGGAAUAUUGGACAAUGGGGGGAACCCUGAUCCAGCCAUGCCGCGUGUGUGAAGAAGGCCUUAUGGUUGUAAAGCACUUUAAGCGAGGAGGAGGCUCCUGUAGUUAAUACCUACAGAGAGUGGACGUUACUCGCAGAAUAAGCACCGGCUAACUCUGUGCCAGCAGCCGCGGUAAUACAGAGGGUGCGAGCGUUAAUCGGAUUUACUGGGCGUAAAGCGUGCGUAGGCGGCUUUUUAAGUCGGAUGUGAAAUCCCCGAGCUCAACUUGGGAAUUGCAUUCGACACUGGGAAGCUAGAGUAUGGGAGAGGAUGGUAGAAUUCCAGGUGUAGCGGUGAAAUGCGUAGAGAUCUGGAGGAAUACCGAUGGCGAAGGCAGCCAUCUGGCCUAAUACUGACGCUGAGGUACGAAAGCAUGGGGAGCAAACAGGAUUAGAUACCCUGGUAGUCCAUGCCGUAAACGAUGUC
rnacentral:rRNA from 1 species